GGAUUAGAUACCCUGGUAGUCUACGCCGUAAACGAUGGUCACUAGCUGUUCGAUAUACAUUGGUAUGUUGAGUGGCUAAGCGAAAGUGAUAAGUGACCCACCUGGGGAGUACGUUCGCAAGAAUGAAACUCAAAGGAAUUGACGGGGGCCCGCACAAGCGGUGGAGCAUGUGGUUUAAUUCGAUGAUACGCGAGGAACCUUACCAGGGCUUAAAUGUUAGGUGACAGAUCUAGAAAUAGAUUUUUCUUCGGACACUUAACAAGGUGCUGCAUGGUUGUCGUCAGCUCGUGCCG
rnacentral:rRNA from 1 species